rnacentral:rRNA from 1 species
GAUGAACGCUGGCGGCGUGCCUAAUACAUGCCAGUCGAGCGAACAGACGAGGAGCUUGCUCCUCUGACGUUAGCGGCGGACGGGUGAGUAACACGUGGAUAACCUACCUAUAAGACUGGGAUAACUUCGGGAAACCGGAGCUAAUACCGGAUAAUAUAUUGAACCGCAUGGUUCAAUAGUGAAAGACGGUUUUGCUGUCACUUAUAGAUGGAUCCGCGCCGCAUUAGCUAGUUGGUAAGGUAACGGCUUACCAAGGCAACGAUGCGUAGCCGACCUGAGAGGGUGAUCGGCCACACUGGAACUGAGACACGGUCCAGACUCCUACGGGAGGCAGCAGUAGGGAAUCUUCCGCAAUGGGCGAAAGCCUGACGGAGCCACGCCGCGUGAGUGAUGAAGGUCUUCGGAUCGUAAACUCUGUUAUUAGGGAAGAACAAAUGUGUAAGUAACUAUGCACGUCUUGACGGUACCUAAUCAGAAAGCCACGGCUAACUACGUG